UAAUGAGUCAAUGUUCUCUAGCCCAAGAA
rnacentral:piRNA from 1 species